AACGCGUGGGUAACCUGCCUUGUACUGGGGGAUAGCAGCUGGAAACGGCUGGUAAUACCGCAUAAGCGCACAAUGUUGCAUGACAUGGUGCGAAAAACUCCGGUGGUAUAAGAUGGACCCGCGUCUGAUUAGCUAGUUGGUGAGAUAACAGCCCACCAAGGCGACGAUCAGUAGCCGACCUGAGAGGGUGACCGGCCACAUUGGGACUGAGACACGGCCCAGACUCCUACGGGAGGCAGCAGUGGGGAAUAUUGCACAAUGGAGGAAACUCUGAUGCAGCGACGCCGCGUGAGUGAAGAAGUAAUUCGUUAUGUAAAGCUCUAUCAGCAGGGAAGAUAGUGACGGUACCUGACUAA
rnacentral:rRNA from 1 species